CUUCCUUCUCAGAUACAGAAUUGGGUGCUUUGCAGUUUGGCUUCUGCCUUAUCCACACCCAGGCAUGUACAGAACUGGAAAGGAGGAGAAGAAACUGGGGGAAAGGAGAGCAGGAAGUCAGCAGUGAACAACACAGUGACCAUCUCCCCUCCAGCUUAGGCACUGCUGUGUAAUGAACCCUCUGUAUGUGGGAGUGUGCAGCCUCUGCCAUGAACCCCCAGCUGGUGAGCUCUGUGACAAUAAAGGACUUGUCUGGAUCAAAAAGAAAGUGACAAUAUUAAUUCUGCCUAUCCAAGAACAAGGGAGAUCAUCUUCUAAGGUAUUCUUUAAUUUCUUUCUUUAGCGUUCUGUAGUUUUCAUUGAAGAGGUCUUUCACCUCUUUUAUUAGGUUGAUUCCCAAGUUUUUUUUUUUUUUAUUUUUU